rnacentral:piRNA from 1 species
UCCUAGAAGACACCAGAGAGCUG